GUCUGACGGAGCAACGCCGCGUGAGUGAUGAAGGGUUUCGGCUCGUAAAGCUCUGUUAUGAGGGAAGAACACGUACCGUUCGAAUAGGGCGGUACCUUGACGGUACCUCAUCAGAAAGCCACGGCUAACUACGUGCCAGCAGCCGCGGUAAUACGUAGGUGGCAAGCGUUGUCCGGAAUUAUUGGGCGUAAAGCGCGCGCAGGCGGCCUUUUAAGUCUGAUGUGAAAUCUUGCGGCUCAACCGCAAGCGGCCAUUGGAAACUGGGAGGCUUGAGUACAGAAGAGGAGAGUGGAAUUCCACGUGUAGCGGUGAAAUGCGUAGAUAUGUGGAGGAACACCAGUGGCGAAGGCGACUCUCUGGUCUGUAACUGACGCUGAGGCGCGAAAGCGUGGGGAGCAAACAGGAUUAGA
rnacentral:rRNA from 2 species